rnacentral:lncRNA from 1 species
GAAGGGCAAGAACUCUCCAGAGAUGAUUUUUAAAGUUGUGUAAUUGAACAUUGAGUAUCUGUGGAAAUUGUAGCCUUAGUAAUUCAUAUAUUUAUUUAAUUUCUAAAAGUAGAAUUUUAAGUUUAUGUUUUAGUCCAUUACUAAGCUUCAGAAAGAGCUUGUGGGGAGAAUGAAAAAUAAUAUUGAUGACAGAUCAUAACAUAAAAUUAUAUUCAUUAUUAUAAAAGUAAUGUUAAGGACAGUAAUUCUUCUAUCUAAAAAUUCUUAUGGCUCCUCAGGGUCCACUCUUUGAAGCCAGUGUACUAGGGGAUGAUAAUCAAAACCAGGCUUGAGCUCUGCUUUCACAGUGUUGAUGGCCUCCUGAGAGAAGUAUUCUUUUUUAAUUUAACUUUUAUUUUAUAUGGAGUAUAGUUGGUUUACAAUGCUGUGUUAGUUUCAGGUGUACAGCAAAGUGAUUCACUUAAUGCAUAUACACAUAUCCACUCUUUUCCAAAUUCUUUUCCCAUAUAGGUUAUUAGAAAAUAUUGAGUAGAGUUUCCCUUGCUAUAGAGUAGGUCCUUUUUAAUGAGAGGAAGUAUUAUCUAAGUUUGAAAUGGUACUUGUGACAACUGUCACCAAGAAGUUCAUGUCAAUAUUGGUGCCUAUGCUGUGGGUACAGGAUGGUCCCAGCAAAGUUUCUCUGAGAAAGUGAUGCUGGAGCUGCGAUUUGAAGGAUGAGAAGGAACUAAAUGAACAAAGGGAAAAGCAGAGAGCUUUCAAAGCAUAGGGAACAGCAUAGAGCACUGAAAGUAGGUCAGCAGCCUGAGAUAAUAAAGGGAAUUACAAUGUCAUCUGAGCCUGGAUAAUUCAUUUCAAAAGAUUGCAGAGUGUUAAGAGUUUGGGAGUGAAAAAGCUCUUUAUGAGGUAAUGCAAUUUGCUGCACAUUCUACAGUUUACAAUUGUAACCCUAAGUGCAUAAAGCAAUGAUGUAUUCUAUGUGCUAAUUCUAAAAAUGGCUCUCCUGCUGCCAAUCAAUUCCAUUAAGUGUUUGCACUGAUGUCUGCAGGGUCUAUAUGUGAUUCACCGAGCCAAAUGAUGAAUGCUUUUGGAACAGAAGUACGUGGAUGGUUUUUGCCAUGUAAUGAUAUAUGAUGUUCAUUGAAAGCCAUAGAGUGUUAGCUAGAGAAGGGACUACAGGGGUCCAGCAGAUCAAUCUUCUCUUCCUCAGUUAGAGAAACAUGCAGAGAAAAAGGAGCGUUUUUCAUGGUUUCAUAGAAACUUAGUUACAGAGGUGAUAUUAAAAUAUAAAUUUAUUAAUUUCUAUUCUAUCACCUUCACUCACCAUAGGCAAGUUGCAAUUACAAUGUUACCUAUUUUGGAUUACUCACAGAAGUCAUAUUUUGCCACUUCCACACAGGCUCAAAAAGAACAUCACAUGUGAAAACAGUUUAAUACACUUUAGUUCUGUUAAUGAUGUUGAUGACCAGCUGCCAUAAUACUAGCGACACUGCAUAUUAUCAUGGCAGAGAUCCAAAUGGACAAAAGAGAUUAUGGAUAUAGAUUGCUGAAAUGUAUAAUAAAUACUUCAUACAAAUGGAAAUCCUUUAAAACUAGACUUGGCAGCAUAAAUUGGUUUCUUGCUGCCAGUUACUAUGGGUAGGCAAAGCUGAUGACAAGACAGAAAAUGAAUCAUCUCUAUGAAAAUAUAGCUUUGAAUCAACUUUGCUUCUUCUUAAAGGUCACAUUCUUCCUUUGUAUUCACUCAUACAUCCACUCACACAAACAUAGAAAAUAUUUUCAUCAUGCUUCUUUCAAGUUGGAGGCAUGAUGCCAAUUUGGGGACACUCAAAUUGAGCUGAAAACUAUUCAGCCAUGUAUCACAAAUCUACCUUGUGUAUUUUAUUUUUAAAAUUUUUCUGUAAUAUGUGUUUCCUUUUUUAAAAAAUAAACAGAAAAGCUAAAAGAAAACAACGUAUUUCUUUAUAAUCAUGCGUCAUUUCUACAGUCCUUCUUUGUUUCCUUUUUUUAAUUGAAGUAGAGUUGAUGUAUAAUGUAUAUUAUGGAUGCGCAAUAUAGUGAUUCACAAUUUUUAAAGGUUAUAUUCCUUUUAUAGCUAUUAUAAAAUACCGGCUAUAUUCCCCAUGUUAUACAAUAUAUCCUUGCGGUUUAUUUUAUAACUAAUAGUUUGUACCUCUUUAUUCCUUACCCCUAUAUUGCCCAUUCCCCCUUCCCUCUUCCCACUAGUAACCACUAGUUUGUCCUCUGUAUCUCUAAGUCUGCUUCUUUUUAUUAUGUUCACUAGUCUGUUAUGUUUUUUAGAUUCCACAUGUAAGGGAUAUCAUGCAGUAUUUGUCUUUCUCUGGUGAUGUGUUUCACUUAGUAUAAUGCCCUCCAAAUCCAUCCAUUUUGCUGCAAAUGGCACAUUUUCAUUCUUUUCUGUGUGUGUGUGUGUGUGUGUGUGUGUACACACGUGUACGCAUGUAUGUGAAGAAGAUGUGGCAUGUGUUAUGUCAUGUCACAUCUUUAUCCAUUCAUCUGUUGAUGGACACUUAGGUUGCUUCUAUAUGUUGGUAAUUGUAUGCUGCUAUGAACACUGGGGUGCAGGUAUCUUUUCAAUUUAGUGUUUUUUGGGGGGGUUUUGGAUAUAAACACUGGAAUUGGAUUGCUGGGUCAUUUGAUAGUUCUUUUUUUAGCUUUUUAAGAAAUCAUAUUGUUUUCCACCAAUUUACAUUCCUGCCAACAAUAUAGGAGUGUUCCCUUUCUUCCACAUUCUUGCCAACAUUUUUUAUUUGUGUUCUUUUUAUGAUAGUCAUUCUGAUAAGUACGAGAUGAUAUCUCAUUGUGGUUUUGAUUUGCAUUUACCUGAUCAGUGAUGUUGAGCAUCUUUUCAUGUGUCUGUUAGUUACUUGCAUUUGGUCUUUGGAAAAAUGCCUACUCAGUUCCUCUGCCAAUUUUUUAAUUGGAUCCUGUGGGUUUUUUGAUAUUGAGUUGCAUGAGCUGUUUAUAUAUGUUGUAUCUUAACCCCUUAUCAGUCAUGCCAUUUGCAAAUAUUUUCUCCCAUUCAGUAGGCUGUCUUUUUGUUUUGUUGGUGGUUUCCUUUGUUGUGCAAGAUCUUAUAAUUUUAAUUAGGUACCAUUUGUUUACUUUUUCUUUUAUUUCCUUUGUUUUCAGAGAUGAGUCCAAAACAUAUGGUUUAUAAUUUAUGUCAAAAAGUGUUCUGCCUGUUCUGUUCUAGGAGUUUUAUGCUGUCUGGUCCUACAUUUAGGUCUUUAAUCUAUUUUGAAUAUAUUUUUGUACACAGUGUUAGAGAAUUUUGGAAUUGCAUUUUUAACAUGUAGCUGUCCAGUUUUCCCAGUUCCUCUUAUUAAAGAGACUUUUUUCUCCAUUGUACAUUCUUGCCUCCUUUGUCACAGGUUAAUUGGCCUAAGUGCGUGUGUUUAUUUCUGGGUUCUCUAUUCUGCUCCAUUUGAUACUCAGUGCUGUGCUUAGUAAAAUGGUACAAGGAUUUCAAGUGUUUUUUUUAUUUACUUUAGUAAAAGUUACAGAUUACUUCAGUUCUGGCUUUGUUUUGCUUUUGUUUUGUUGCGGGGGACAGGGAACAUCUCAAAUAGUGAAAUUUAAAAUGAUGGGAAAAGCCACUGGAAGAUUUAACUGACAUAACAAUCAUUUGCACAAAUGAAACACUUGUGUUUUCCUGCAAUGCUCUUCAUUGCAAAUACAGAGUUUCAGAGGGUUCAUCUUAAUGCAUCAUUCCUCUGAGCUUGGUUUGAGAGUCCCCUCUGUGUGAUCUUCUCUCUCCUUCUCAGUCUCUCAGAGGACUUUGAUUGAUCACAGUGCUGCAAUGGGGCUUUAAAUUGAUCCACUGAACUAUAAGAACAGCAAUUAAUUUAAAGCAGAGUUCCAUGCAUUUCAUGUGCACUGCAUAUAAAAGAAGCUUUCUUUCUUUCCCAUUCUGUAUUCCUCCUACUACUAUUUAUAUAUAUUGUCUCUUCUACUGUAUGAUAAGAAUAUAUCACUGUCGCCCUGCAGAACAGAAACUGAACCUCAUAUAUUUCCCUUUCCACAGCACCAACUUAUCAAGUUAAUUUCAAAGAAAUGUAUGGUAUAAACUCCAAAAGUUGAUCUAAAAACAAGCUUCUAGAACAAACCAUUUUUAAGUUGAGGGCCUCCUUAGUGUAUGUUCAUGCACACACACACACACACACACACAUAUGCACACAUAGCAUGACACAAUAUGGUCAAUCCACAUUCUAUAUAAAUCCAAGUGUGUAUGUGUAUAUUUGAUUUUACAAAUAAAAAUAUAUUAUUUCUAAAAUAUCUUCAUAUGGUUCAUGUUGGCAAAGAUAUGAAGCAAGACAUUUAGUCGAUGCUUAGUAACUUGUUCCAUUUGAAUUAAAAUGUUAUUUUGAUUUUUUACUUUAUCACUCAUAUUCUUAAUUUCCUUGGGUUCCUCUUGGAAAUACAUUUAUUCUUUCAUCACAACAUGUCGACUUGAAAUAAAUAGACUACCAGAUGUUUCUCUAGAAAAGAUGGGUUUGUUCAGGAUCAGCAGAGAAUUGUAAUUUGGGUUCUGUAACCAUGGAAAACUACAUGCCAUGGAGGUCUCAGCAUGGCAAAGAAAGGGAAAUGCUUUUAGAGAUAGCGAAAAGGAAGUUGGGAGGGCUACAGUAAAUAAUCCAUGGCUUUUCAUUGGCGGAGUCCUUGGUAGGAAAAAAAAAAUGAAUCUUCUUCCUAUUGGGCUCUGAAAUGAGAGCUCCCCCUUCUGGUGUCUUGACUAUGUAAUGGAGGUUUCUGUUAAUUAUUUUCCUUGGGUUUUUUUUUUUUUUUUUAAUUGUUUUAUUACAGUUGCUUUACAAUGUUCUGUCAAUUUCUGCUGUACAGCAAAGUGACCCAGUUAUACACUGGGUAACUUUUUCUCAUAUUCAUGUUCUAUCACAAGUGAUUGGAUGUAGUUCCUGUGCUAUACAGCAGGACCUCAUUGCUUUAUUUUCUUACAAGCAACAUGAAGGGGAUAAACUUUAGAGCAGUCUUAAGAGGAUGUUUAGCUCAGAAUAAGUGAAAUGAAGAUAGCAGACUCUCCAAACAAUAACUUUGUUUGCCGUUGUUCAAAUCUGGAUUUAUUAACUGAGAGGGCCUCCUAAAGGUAUACAGCUUUGAUCUGGAGGUUGUGAGAAGAUGGUAGUAGAAGUUGUAAUUUUUACUAGAACCCAACUUUAAUAACCAAGUUGUCAAUGGUUGCCUAGUCCUGGAAAUAGUCCUCGAAUGUAGAAUCUAUUCAUGUGUUUCCUGAAAUUUGUUUUAAAUAAAAAUCCCUAAAUUAAAGGAAUGUGGAUAUGCCUUCAUUCAUUAUUUCAUCCAUAAUUUUACUGAGCACCAAUUUUAUCCAAACACUAUCUAAAACUCUGAGAACAGGAUGAGUGAGCUGUAUAGUUCCUCCUCUCAAGGAACUCUCUCUUAGCUGAAGAACCUGUUUCUACAGAUUACACUGUAGAUGAUAGUGUGCAUGUGCAUACAUGAGUUCAUGUGCAUGUGCUUUAUCUGUCUUAUUUAAUUAUGAGUGUUCUUGUAAAUUUUUUUAAUGCAAAUAUAUUCUAAGGAAAAAGAUUCUGAGAAGUUAAGAUCUCCACCCCAUAACUACUCCUAGGCACCCUAAAGAAGUAAUCUUGGAGAACAGAGAGUACAUGUGUUUCAAAGCCAUUACAACCUUGGUUGAAACCCCCAGUCUAACAGGUUUCAAGUCUCAACUUCUGAGCUUUGCCAACUACCUGAAGUUAAUAAAAAAAAAAAAAAAAAAA